CCUACGGGUGGCAGCAGUCGAGAAUCAUUCACAAUGGGGGAAACCCUGAUGGUGCGACGCCGCGUGGGGGAAUGAAGGUCUUCGGAUUGUAAACUCCUGUUAUGUGGGAGUAAAUCAAAAAGAUAGUACCACAAGAGGAAGAGACGGCUAACUCUGUGCCAGCAGCCGCGGUACUACAGAGGUCUCAAGCGUUGUUCGGCAUCACUGGGCGUAAAGCGUGCGUAGGCUGUUUCGUAAGUCGUGUGUGAAAGGUGCGGGCUCAACCCGCGAACGGCACAUGAAACUGGGAGACUAGGGUACUGUAGGGGGAGGCGGAAUUCUCGGUGUAGCAGUGAAAUGCGUAGAUAUCGAGAGGAACACUCGUGGCGAAGGCAGGUUCCUGGACAUUAACUGACGCUGAGGCACGAAGGCCAGGGGAGCGAAAGGGAUUAGAUACCCGGGUAGUC
rnacentral:rRNA from 1 species